rnacentral:rRNA from 1 species
UUGCUUCUCCGGAUGAGUUGCGAACGGGUGAGUAACGCGUAGGUAACCUGCCUGGUAGCGGGGGAUAACUAUUGGAAACGAUAGCUAAUACCGCAUAACAGUAGAUAUUGCAUGAUAUCUGCUUGAAAGGUGCAAUUGCAUCACUACCAGAUGGACCUGCGUUGUAUUAGCUAGUUGGUGAGGUAACGGCUCACCAAGGCAACGAUACAUAGCCGACCUGAGAGGGUGAUCGGCCACACUGGGACUGAGACACGGCCCAGACUCCUACGGGAGGCAGCAGUAGGGAAUCUUCGGCAAUGGACGGAAGUCUGACCGAGCAACGCCGCGUGAGUGAAGAAGGUUUUCGGAUCGUAAAGCUCUGUUGUAAGAGAAGAACGAGUGUGAGAGUGGAAAGUUCACACUGUGACGGUAUCUUACCAG